GAAAAAAAUGAAGGGGAGAGAAGAGCACAGAUGAAUUAGAAUCAAAGGGACGUGGAACUCACUUAGCCCAAGCUGUCUCUAUAGACUCCUGGAAAGCCUGGGUUUUGCCCUUUUUCUCUCCAAGCCAAUGACCUAGGCUUUAAUUCUAAGCUCAGGAGGGAACAUGAUCUCAUGGCUCCCAAACUAAGAAUAACAGGAAACUCCAUCAUCUCUGGGAAUCACAUUUUAGCUUUGUAUUCAUAAAACUGAAAAUUCUGUCUGCCCUCUGGUCUCUAAGUUUAAAGUCCACUCAGUAGAGUUCUCAGGAAUUUUGCCAUUUAUGCUAAUGAAAAUCUUUAGGCUCAGGAGAGUGAUGUCUGGGGCCUCUUAGAAUGUAUUUGAUCGUGUAGAAUAGCGACCAAAAGGAACAAUUUGCCUGAGCCACACAGAGCAGAGGCAUGAGAUUCUUCCACAUGUUCUAGCGGACACCAAUCACUGUUACACAGGCUCCCCCUCAGUUCUCCAGGAGGUGGGCAUCGCUUCAGGGCUGGCAUGUGGCAUUCNNNNNNNNNNNCUGGCAUGUGCCAUUCCUGGGCUACAGGAAGCUGCCUCGGUGGUGCCACUCAUUCUUAUGAUUCAACCUAAGGUUCCCUAUCAAAGGCAAGAUUUUAUUUCUAACUUUUGCUUCUCCAGACUGCUGUUCCUGGAACUGUCCAUCAUCGGCUGGGUCCAUACAAGCCAACUGGAAUAUUUCCUGCGGGGAGAGUGGACUCAUCGAAGGGUAUCCACUCCGGCCACUCCUGCAAAGGAAUGCCAAGUUCAGAGGUAAUGCGUGCAUAAGAGAGAAUCAGUCAUGACGUAAUGGCCAUUAUCAAUUCUCACCCAGACAAGACUUCCUUCCCAGCAAGGGCCACACCCUUGGCCUCAAUUGGUUUGUAAGCCUGGUAACUUACAGGUGGCUAGCCCUAGAAUAGAAUUUUUUUUUUUUUAAGCAUUGGAAAAGAGAAACCACUGUUUUUAACCUGCAUGUGGAACCAUUCAUCAUUCUGCUGGCGACUAGCAUAUCUGUGACAAAUGACAUCAUUUGUCACACUCAGCCAUAUGGAAGACCAAUGCUAGAUGGUAAACCUGUUUCUGCUCAGUUUCUCUGUUCGGCAGAAAAAUGCCAUAGUUUAAACAGUGAACAGUUUGUUUAAAUAUUAGGCAGUCAUAGUCUUUUCAAAAAAUUUCUUCCACUCUCUGGAAGAAUAUGGCAUUAUUGUGCCAACAUCCCUGGCCAAAUGAAACAAUUCAAUGCCAUGCACAUUUAUUAAAGGACUGCUCUAU
rnacentral:lncRNA from 1 species